GGUUUUCUCUUCAGCAUUUAUUAGAAGUAAACCGGACCGCUUUUAUGACCGGUUUUCAGAACCAUGGUUUUGAGUUACUUUUCAUCAAAGAAGAAGCAGCUGGAUCUGGAUAUGAAGGAAAUGAAAAAUCUUAGUUGAAAGAAGCUCUGCUGCUAAUUGCUUCUAAUCAUAUCAUUUGGUUUCUGACUAAAUUCUACUUCUAAGCCAAGUAUUCCAGGUGAUAGUACAAAAACCAAUCAACCACCUAUUACGUUCAUCCUUCCUAGCAGGAGUCCCUGUCCAACUCUUGAAGUGUUGCUUAAUUGUUCCUGCAACAGGCCAUAGUUUCUUAUAGCCAUUUUGACUAUUAAUCCUUACUUACAUACUAGUUCCCUUGUAAACUAAUACUGUUAUUUACUUGUAACUGUAGGGUUUUAUUUAAACCAAAGAAAAUAUGGCUGCUGCUAUGGUGGGAGGGGCAUUACUCUCUGCUUCUGUUCAGGUGUUGUUGGAUAAGAUCAUUUCCAAUGAGUUAUUGAACUUCUUUAGGAGAAGGAAGCUUAAUGUUUCACUUCUUGGAAAGAUGAAGAUGACAUUGCUGAGUGUUCAAGCUGUUCUAAAUGAUUAUUUGAAAGACUAGAGCACUUUGCACAGCAAAUACACAUCCUUCAACUGAAAGAAGGUGUUUCCAACAGUGUUUGGCAAGGGAUGCCUACAAGUUCUGUGGUCGACAAAGCUGUCAUUUAUGGAAGAGAUGAUGAGAGAAAGAAGCUUAGAGAGUAUGUGGUGUCAGAAGAUGUUGGUGCUAGUAGCAAUAAAAUAGGAGUGAUUGCAAUUGUUGGCAUGGGAGGGAUUGGGAAAACAACCCUUGCUAAACUCCUAUACAAUGAUGAUGAAGUUAAAGACAAGUUUGAUUUAAAAGCAUGGGCAUGUGUUUCAUAGAAGUUUGAUGUUUUCAGGGUCACUAAGACUGUGCUUGAAUCGGUUACCUCAAAAACAACAAAUACUGAUAACUUGAAUACUCUGCUAUGCAAACCUUUCCUAUCUUUCAUUUGACAUCUCUUGUUAGUGAAGAUUUCUGGUCUUUACUUGCUGAACACGCAUUUGGAGCACAUAAUUCCAGUGAAAGGUCCAACCUAGAAGGACUUGGAAGAGAAAUUGUGAAAAAAUGUGAUGGUUUUCCUUCCCUUACCAUUGAAUGGAUGGUCAUUUGACUAUUACCUAUCAAACAAGGUAAUAUAUGGCUUGUUGCCCAAGUUAAAACAGUUGCGGGUGUUAUCUUUGUCACACUACAAGAAUAUCUCUGAGUUACAAGACUCCAUUGGAGCUUUAAAACAUUUGCGGCAUUUAGAUCUUUCUGGCACUAACAUUAAAAGGUUGCCUUCUGUGGUUUGCAAGCUCUACAAUCUACAGAGCUUGCUGUUGUCUGAUUGUAAGUUUCUCACUGAAUCACCUGAGGAGAUAGGAAUGUUGGUGAAUCUUCGCCACCUCGACAUUAGUGGAACUCAAUUGCUGGACUAGAAAAUCUCCAAACUUUAUCUGGGUUUGUUGUUAGCAGACAGCAAAAUGGAUUAAGGUGGGAGAAUUGCAAAAAUUUCCCAAUUUGCAGGGGAAGCUCUGCAUUUCAAAGCUACAAAACAUUGUUGACCUGUGAUGCUUCACAAGCCAAUAUGAAGAAGAAAGAACAAAUUGGAGAUCUAUCAUUAGAAUGGGAUAGCUGCACUGCUCAAGAGUCCCAACAUCUUGUAUUGGAGCACCUGCAGCCUUCAACAAACUUGAACAAACUAACCAUCUAAUUCUAUGGUGGAACCUGGUUUCCCAACUGGUUAGGUAAUUCCUCAUUUGCACUACCACCUGUUGGACAGCUUCAUAAUCUUAAAGAACUCAUCAUAUUUGAUAUUAUCUCAAUGAAGACUGUUGGUCCUGAAUUUUAUGGAUCUUGUUCUCCUUCAUUUCAAUCAUUUUUCCCUUAGGCUCUCUCCCUGUGCUCAAGUGGCUCUACUUUAUAGAAUGUAAGAAUCUGAAAUUCAUUUUUAAUUUCAGAAGAUGCACCCCAGUAUCUCACAUUUCUUCAAGGUUUCUACAUUAUAGAAUGUCCUGAACUUGAAUCAUUUCCUCAACUUGGAUUGCCAACUCCUAAGCUCAGACGUUUUUGGGUGUCAUAUUGCAACAAGCUUAAUUCACUACCAGAACCGGUUAAUGCUCUUGUUGGCCUUCAAGAAUUGACAGUUCUUAACCUCCCAAGUAUGCAGUUUUUUGCAAAUGAAGGUUGUAGCAAACUAUUUGUGAACCAUGCUUGUGAAGUUGUGGGAAACUUGCUGUAACUUGAAGCAGAGGAUAAUAUUCUCUAUCGGAUUUUGGUGUGCACAUAGUAUCUUUGUUUUAAGAGAAGCUCACAGCAUAUGGUGCAACCUCAUGCAGCCAAGUUCAGCUCAUGCAUGCAUGGUUGGCGUGAUUAAUUAAGUAGAUGAUAGUUGUAGAGUUAGUUAUUGUUACUUGCCACGUAGGAUCAGUUAGUUAGAGGCUAAGUUAGUUGUAGUUUGCUGCUAUAUAAGCCACGUGUAUCAGCUAGUUUCAUUUGAGAUCUUUCACUUUAGAUUGAGUUUAUUCAUCAAUUCCAUUUAAUUUCUUCUCUCAAUUCUCUCCAAUUUAGUGUGCU